rnacentral:pre_miRNA from 1 species
AGAGGGAGUUGAAGGAUAUUGGGAAGGUUUUGGUAUGGGUGAGUAGGGAAGAUAAUUUAACUAAGUAAUAAUAAUAUCACUUUUUUCAUUAUUACUAUUUACUUAAGGAAUUUGUAUAUCUUCCCUACUCCACCCAUGCCAUAGGUUUCCCAUUAUUCCUCCCUCUCCUUAUC